GUGACACUGAGGUCGUCUUUUUAUUCAAACUUUAACGCUGGGAAGGGCUGCACAAGUUUGAUGUUUACAUUCCCGUUGGAGCAAAACCAACCACCACAAAAUUUGAGAGAGAAAAAUGCAAAUGGUGCAAAAUAUCAAGGUAUCAUCUCCUCUCGUUCCUCCUCGUCCCAGUCUCCGAUGGACAACUUAUGCGUGUAAUAAUAAUAAUAAUAAUAAUAAUAAUAAUAAUAAUAAUGCAAUGUGUAGCAUGCCGUAUCAGGAGUGGGCAACCAGACUUUUUUUUCCCUAAGGGAGGGAACAGAUCAUGACAAAAUCCUUUCCCCACCACGUUGCUAGAAAGCAUGUCCAAGGAUCUGCACAACCCUUCAGUCUCCCUUUCUGAGGACUUGUCUUAGGGCCCGUCCAGACAGUACCUUUAUCCCAGGAGCCCCUGCUUCGAAAUGGAGGGCGGCCACACAACGUCCCCUGAAAACACAGUUGCUACAAAGGCCAAAGAACGCGAGAUUUUCAGGUGCGGGAAUAUCCCGGUUUGUCCAGGAAAUGCGGAUAUUCGAAUCUCUGUGUGUCUCUACUCUCCGAAAAUACGGGAUUUUUUUAUGUUGGUUUGUUCCUGAGUUAUACAUGUUGGAUCCUGAUUGGUUGUGUCCUAAAAACAUGGAAAAUGGGUUGUUAUGGGUUUUUUGGGUUGUAUGGCCAUGUUCUAGAACAGGGGUCCUCAAACUACGGCCCGCGGGCUGGAUACGGCCCUCCAAGGUCAUUUACCCGGCCCUUGCUCAGGGUCAACCUACAUCUGAAAUGACUUGAAAGUACACAACAACAACAACAAGCCUAUCUCAUCAGCCCAAAGUAGGCCCACACUUCCCAUUGAAAUACUCAUAAGUUAAAAUUCUUUUUCAUGUUCAUUAUUGUAUUGUUUUUAAGUGUUUUUUUGCACUACAAAUAAGAUCUGUGCAGUGUGCAUAGGAAUUCAUUCAUGUUUUUUUCCAAAUUAUAAUCCGGCCCUCCAACAGUUUGAGGGACUGUGACCUGGCCCUCUGUUUAAAAAGUUUGAGGACCCCAAUUCUAGAAUGUUUCGGAUUGUAUGGCCAUGCUCUAGAAGCAUUCUCUCCUGACGUUUUGCCUGCAUCUAUGGCAGGCAACCUCUGAGGAUGCCCGCCAUAGAUGCAGGCGAAACGUCGGGAGAGAAUGCUUCUAGAACAUGGUCAUACAACCCGAAAAACCAACAACAACCCAGUGAUUCCGGCCAUGAAAGCUUUCGACAAAACAUGGAAAAUGUUUCUUAAACUUCUUGUGGGAGGGAAUUCCUGCAG